AGGAUAAUAGUUAAAUUAUUAAUAUUUGAAUUGCAAUCAAAAGAUGUUGAAAUAUCAACUUAUCUU
rnacentral:tRNA from 1 species